rnacentral:lncRNA from 1 species
CCGUGUGUGUCAAUGUGGGUCAAUGUGGGGCUGCAGGGCUGCAGUGUGGGUCAAUGUGGGGCAAUGUGGGUCAGUGUGGGUCAAUGUGGGGCAGCAUCCCGAGCCCUUUCUCCCCCCAGACGGCGUCGCAGCGUCGGCUGCGGCUGCUGGAGGAGCUGCAUGCGCUGGUGUCGGGGGCGGCGCAGGAGCUGCGCUGGCUGCGCGGGCGCGAGGAAGAGGAGGUGGCCUUCGACUGGAGCGAGCGCAACCCGGCCAUGGCCGCCAAGAAGGACGCCUACGCGGUACGAUGUGGGGCGGCACUUGGGGGGCAGGGAGCGGGGGGGCAUUUUGUGGUGCAUUCUGGUGCAUUCGGGUGCAUUGCAGCACAUAUCAUGCACUGACGGUGCAUUGUAGUGCAUUUUGUGGUGCAUUCUGGUGCACUGAGGCCCAUAUCAUGCUGUGGCAGUGCACUGUGGUGCAUUUUGUGGUGCAUUCUGGUGCAUUGCAGCACAUAUCAUGCACUGACAGUGCAUUGUGGUGCAUUCUGGUGCACUGCAGCACAGCCCACGCACUGACAGUGCACUGUGGUGCAUUUUGUGGUGCAUCCUGGUGCGUUGAGGCCCAUUGUGGCCCAUUGUGGCACAUAUCAUGCACUGACAGUGCAUUGUAGUGCAUUUUGUGGUGCAUUCUGGUGCAUUCUGGUGUAUUGCAGCACAUGCCAUGCACUGACAGUGCACUGUGGUGCAUUUUGUGGUGCAUUGUGGUGCAUCGAGGCACAUAUCGUGCACUGACAGUGCACUGUGGUGCAUUUUGUGGUGCAUUCUGGUGCAUUCUGGUGCAUUGAGGCACAUGCCAUGCACUGACAGUGCACUGUGG